rnacentral:rRNA from 1 species
GAAACAGGUUAAUAUUCCUGUACUUGGUGUUACUGCGAAGGGGGGACGGAGAAGGCUAUGUCAGCCGGGCGACGGUUGUCCCGGUUUAAGCAUGUAGGCGGAGGUUCCAGGUAAAUCCGGUACCUUGUUAACGCUGAGGUGUGAUGACGAGGCACUACGGUGCUGAAGUGAUAAAUGCCCUGCUUCCAGGAAAAGCCUCUAAGCAUCAGGUAACACGAAAUCGUACCCCAAACCGACACAGGUGGUCAGGUAG